GGAAGUAAAAGUCGUAACAAGGUUUCCGUAGGUGAACCUGCGGAAGGAUCAUUACUGAUUUAGCGAACCGAGCAUUAGCGAGGUUUUGCGAUCAAUUUAUAUUUAAAACCCACUCUUUAAUGUAUAAAAUUUGUAUUAAUGAUAAAUUAAAAGAUCACUUUCAACAACGGAUCUCUUGGCUCUCGCAUCGAUGAAGAACGUAGCGAAGUGCGAUAAGUAAUGUGAAUUGCAGUAUUCCGUGAAUCAUCGAAUCUUUGAACGCAUAUUGCACUUUCUGGUAUUCCGGAAAGUAUGCCUGUUUGAGGGUCAGUUAAAUAAAAAUCGGUGUUGUUGCUGCUUUCCUGGUGACCCGUCCGAAUUGAAUUGUCUUACCUUCGGUUAAGUGACUUAAAAUUUUGUAUGAUUUUCCAACGUAUUUAAAUUUAUUUGAACGUUUCAAAUCCAAUGGUUAUUAAGUUCGGUCAUCCUCCUGACUCCCGCCUAUUAUUUUUCAUUAAAUGACCUCCAAUCAGGGAAAAAUACCCGCUGAACUUAAGCAUAUCAAUAAGCGGAAGA
rnacentral:rRNA from 1 species